rnacentral:lncRNA from 1 species
UGCGGCACAGGAUAUAUAAUCCCUGCAUGCAGCAACUUUAUAACUUCCUUUUUAACUACCUCUCUCAUAGUGUUAUUAAGUCUACGUUGGGGUUCUCGAGAAGGUGAAACAGAAGGAUCUGUUGGAAUAUGAUGGGUACAAAUCAUAGGACUGAUUCAUGUAAGAUCUUGGAGUGAGUAGCCGAAAACUGAGUGAUAUUUCUCAAGAAUGGUCAUCAAUCAUAGAGUUUGCUCCUGAGUGAGUUUAUCGCUAAUGAUCACAGCAAACUCUGGAUUAUUGUUUAGGAAAGCAUAGAUAAGACCGGGUGGUAAAGUUUUAAGCUCUAUGGGGGGUCUAGGUGUUUCCGCAAACUCAUCUAAGGGUUUAGGUUCAGAAGGUUUGGCUUCUUCUUCUAUGAAGAAAGGAGUUUUGUCUUCUAAGUCUGAUCCUUCUAAAAGUUCAAGAGAUGCAGCCUUUACCUCCUCUAUAGGGUCAGGCAAAAGAUAUGACUCGACCUUAUUAUUUAAGGAGUGUGAAAUUGUUAUUGGGAAUUUAAAGGCUUCUCCAAAAGAAAUGUGUAGCUUUCUAGUAUGACCUUUGUUGGGUAUUUUAAACGCAAACAGAAAAAUCCGCAAGCGCACGGAUACCGAUGUAGCUUUCACCCGAGAGUAUUCCAGAGUAUUAAUUUUCCACAGAGAACGUGAGUGUACUAAUUAAGAUCCAAGAUCGCCCAAGGAUAACUAUAUAAUUAUUUUUGGUGGGAAGAGAGGAAGUUUCCUGAGAGUUCUCUAGUUGAUCUAAGAAUCAAGAAUUACUUCAAGAUUAUCUAUAUCGGGACAUCAGAGCACUAACCACAGAAAGAGAUGAGAAGGGGGCUAGGAAGGUCUGACUACAGUCCUACAAACACCGAUCCGAACGUGGUGGAAUACGUCGACCGUUAGGGCUGUCACUACCCUAAGGCUACCACAACAAUCCACAGGAUUGGGUGCAAUUCCAGGUAAUUGCAAGACUAAACACCACGUCUAAUCUAUUAAUUACUACUCUAGUGUUAUAAAGACUAGAGCACUUGAUGCAAGCGGGAAUCCAAUAAAUAACUUGAAUGUAAAUAUAAGUAAUUAGAGAACUCAGGAGUUAUGAAUUGAAGAACCUGGAGAACGAUGAAGAACGAACCAGAUGCUGCAAAAAUAUAAUGUUGAGGAAGAUCCGACAGAUCCGGCUCCUCCUCCGCUCUCCUCUUCUCUCUCCCUAUUUUCUAGAUUACAACUAGAACUAACUAGAACUAGAACUAGAGGAACUAGAACUAGAACUAGAUGAACUAGAACUAGAUCUAGAUGAACUAGAGGUAGAACUAGAAGAACUAGAGGGAUCCUCUCUACUUGGAUGAAGAAUUGAAACCCUAGCUUUGAUUCUGUAGAAGAGGUAUGAUCUCCAGGGGCCAGGGGGUCUGGUUUUAUAGUCCCUUCAAGUGAAUCUGGGCCGUCGGAUCAAACCGACAUUGAUCGUGUGGUUUUCCUUGAAGUAUUAGGUCGGUGGAGCAUGAUCCCCGAACUUCACCCUGAUUGGUCCAGGGGGGAGGGCGGGCGCCCAGUAAGGGAGGGCGGGCGCCCAGUGCCCGGCUCCGUUACGUCUCCCGUUCGGUCCCGUGGCUUCUGGAGUCUUCUAGAUGAUAGAAAAUUGCGCGGCACGUUAGUAUCUCUAUGUAAACCCGACGUGUGGGCCUUUCUUCCGUAUUUCCUGAUAACUCCCUGCAGAAAUAGACAAACACCAAAACUUGUGGAAUUCUGUCAGAUAAAACCCUAAGUCUAGGUGUUGGUUGCAUUUGGAUCCUUUUCUAUGAUUAGUUGAUGGUUAAAUGUGAGCAUUAAGGACCUUUAACAAGCUCCCCCAAGCUUAACCUUUGCUCGUCCCUGAGCAAAGAUGAGCUCAAGAGUUUCUGCAGUGGUUUCAUGCCUUAAAGGUAGACAUGAGUUCAAACAAGAUCUCAUCUCUGAGUUAGGGUAAACUGUUAAGAAUUAAACUUACUCAUUUUACCUUCACCAUGGGGCUUGCAACCGUCACUUCUGUCUUGAGUAGUUAAAAGAUAGAACAGUCUAGUCAAGUGCCAUGUCUCUUAUUCUUGAUCAGCUAUAGCUCUGGGGUUUUUGUAGAUUUUCAAAUAAAACUCAGAGAUUCCUUGUAUGACUCUCUCUAGUCUCUCAUUUGUGGUAUUUGUGGUAUGAGGCAUAGUGACAUUGCCUUUUCUCUCACCCUACUCUAACAAGGCUUUUGAUAUCUGGAGCUCAUAGGUGGGAGACAGCUAAUACAUACUUACAAGACAUUUAUUGCAUGAUCAAACCAUGGAUCCAGAAGAACAAGUCAAUAAGUCAAAUCAAGAUGUGCAUGUGUGGCGAAUGAAUGGUGUAUGGUAAUGAUGGUGAUAACAAUGGUGAAAGUCUAAUUCUACUUUUGCUCUUUUGAGGGGAUACAUACCUUUCUUGCAUUUGAGGCUUUUUGAGGAGAAUGAGAUGCUCUAUAUUUUUUUUUUCUUUUCUCUCAGGUGGGUAUCUUGUACCCCUAAUUCUACUGUCGGACACAUGUCCAUUUUUACCUCUCAUCUCACUUUUUCUUUUCUUUCGAGGUUCCGGGCACUUGCCCCUUUUUAUUUCCUCGUAUCUCUUUUUUUUCUCUUUUUUUUUUCUCUCAUUUUUUUUCUCUUUUUUUUAUUAGAGCACUCAUCUCAUGAGAUAAUAUAGCAAGUGGUAGUAACAAGAUAACUUGAGCAUUUAUUUCAUAGGGGAAAAAUAGAAAUAUUUUUGGCUAUUCUCUCCCGGAUUAGGAGUAGAAUAUUUUUGGGUGGUUCUGGAGAUGGAAAUGGAUGGAUAUAUGUGGAUGCGUACUUCCGGAGUAAAAGCAGCAUGUAUGAGUGAACAUGCAAGUGAAUCUUGAUUUUAACCACAUGACAAGCUCCUAAGGGUCUACACAGCUUGACCACACUCAAUGCUCAUAAGUAGUAAAGUAAAUGUGUGGUUCAUAGUCUAGCAAGCAUGUAUAUAUGGCUGUGGUAGGAAUUUAAACUCUCAUCAUACAGGAACUCAUCAUGCAACAUUUUAAAGAUUUUCAAAGAUAAAAUUCUCUAGAAUUCUAUCAUCUCUAGGAACAGAUAAGCAGCAGCUCAACCUUCCCAUAUCAUAUCCGUUAACGACUUAGACUUCAGAUCAAGUACUCUUCCCACAAGUUCAGGUUUAGAGCAAAUCUUAAUUAAUAACAGUCAUGCCUAAACUUAAGAGAGAUUUCAAUUUUUAGAACUAGUCAUGGCAGAGCAACUAUUCAUCAUUUCCAUGUGAAAGCUUAUCAUGAGGGUUCAUAACAAACUUUAUUUAUUUAUUUAUUUAUCAAACUAAGCAAAGAUAUAUAUAAGCUCAAAAUCUUUAUUUGGGUUUUUAUGAUUAUGCAUCUUUUUAUUAUUUGAGUAAAAUAUAAACGUGAGUAAAAUACUUAGCUGGAUAAAUGGGGGUGCUCUCCCUCAAGCUGGAUUUUGACGUAAUUUCUUCUGAUGUAGCUAGUAGGUGGUGGAGGUGUAUUUGAAUGUCGGCUGACAGCGAUUAGGAUGUCCUCCGUCUGCUAGUCUUCUUUGAUCCUUGAAUUCUGUGGAGCUCAAAUAGACAACAAAGCUUUGUGGAACUGGUUAAGUGUUAGCAUAAAUAUCUAGCCUUUAUCAUGUUGAGCCUCCUCAAUAAAUGUUACUCUCUUUAGUAGGAUCAUAAAUUUAUUUUUCUAAUUUUAUUUUUAUAGGACAGGAAUAUAUUUAUUUUAUUUUUAUGCCACCACAGUGAAUGUAAUUAUGGGCUUUAUGCCAUGAGCAUACUCUCAUGGGGCUUACUUAACAUUUUUAUUUUAUUUUCAAGAUGAUAUGAACCUGAUUAACUAAAAUAAUUGAAAGGAAAAAGAUAACUACCAAGUUUACCUCUUGGCAGGGCGUUCGGUGUUUUUACGUCCUCCGAACGGGACUCUCCGUUUUCUCAAUCGUCCUGGGAUUCGCUGGAUGGCGUAGUCGGUGGUUCUGGUGGAGCCUGCUCUUCAUGUAUAACUAUCUUCUCUCUCCACACUUGACUCGGUGCUACGGUCGCCUCAGGACAAUUCUAUUUAAGUUGUAUGUCUUCAGACCUUACAACUUCUCCUUCAUUGUCUAACCAUUCGUCCUUGAUGAUUUGCCUCCUCUGGUUGCGGCUGUGUCAUCGUCUUCUUGUCCUGACCUGCUUAGAAUCUUCAACUAUAUAGUUAGGGUCAGUAAAACAGUGGCGUACCUUCUCUGAGGGGAAGUGCAUGUGGACUUCUCUGGUUCCAAUGUAUAUGAUUGCUUUAAUGGUGCUAAAGAACGGUCUUCCAAGGAUGAUGGGUGGAUCGUACUCGUCUUCUCCCAUGUCAAUAACCUUCAAUCUUUCAGAAUGUCUGAUCUGCCAUCUGGAGCUGAAUGUAUGUUGGUUGUAGGGACAUGGUUCCAUGCAGGAGCUGAUAAGUGACUGCGGCCAUUAUGUUGAUGUUAGAUCCGGUGUCGUAGAGUGUCUUCUGAAAAGAAUAUCCGUUGAUUGUGCACUCGAUGCUUGGGACACCAGGGUCGUCCUUCUUGAUCAAGAAAUGCAACUUGAGUUGACGAUCUUGACCUCCUUGAGCUACAGUGACCAUCUUAGCUGACUUGGUACAUAUUUGCUUGUUCUUGUUCCUCCUGUUGGUCCUCUUCCUUGGUUCAUGUCGGGAUCGCUCUGGGAUUUGUGUAGUCUUGUUUCUUAAAGGAAAACGUCUCUUUUGUCCCCUUGAUGUAGAAACUGAUCUUGGCAGCACUAGCGUAGAUGACAGCUUCCGAGGUGUUCAGGAAUGGCUUCCCCUAGGUAUAAAGUUGACGCUGGAGCCAAAGUCACAGAGUGCUUCUAGGAAGUCCACCAUGCCGAUGGAGAUUGGGAUGACGGGGCCUCCUAGAUUGUCUCUCUUGACCGGCAGAAGGUCAGUAAUUACUUCCACAACGGGGUUACUCCAGUAGUUACAUCCUCAAGCAUCUCGGGACAGUGUUUGCAUGAGUGUCCAGUAUCUCCAGCGUGUUUGUGCUCAUAGAUCUAGGUUCUUCACUUGGUGGAGUCUGGGAGUUGUGAAACUCCUUCAUAUUUUGCUCGAAGUGUACCUGCUCAUAGAGACAAGGCAGAGAUCAAGUGCAUGGGCCCUGUUUGUGGAAAACACCAAUAGAACCAAAAGUGUAUUUGUUCUUCUCUAACCUUAACCAUAGUGAGCAAGACAAAGUUGAUGGAUAAUGAGUGUAACAUUUAAAACAUUUGUCAGAUCAGAUCACUCAACCUAAUGGAAAGAUAAUCUAUCUAUACUUAUCUCUUUUUUAUAUAUAUCUUCCAAAGAUUGUGUGUGCAACAUUUAGUGUGGGAUCACAAAGGUGAAAGGACUAAACAUAUUGAAUCGAUUGGGUUGGUUAAUCUAGAAUUGUAAAUCAUACAUGUUUGUCUCUUUUAUUCAUGUGAAUGCCAGAACCAAGGAAAAGCUUAUAGAAGUGAUAGUCAAGUACCUUAAGAUGUUACCUUACUUGAAGAGUGAUGGUACAGUAUUACCUUGUGGAAGCUUUCCUUUCUUAGUGGUUGUGCAUCGUGUUUGUGGCACCGUCCAUGGAUCAUCUCUUGUGAGCUAUGCCUUCCUUGUGUAGAUUGUUAAACUUCAUGUGUCUCUCUCUUUGUCUCCAAUGUGAGUUUGUCUUAGGACUUCCCAGGUCGAUAUUGAAAGUUUUCCUACAGGGGUUAGUCCAACAAAAUAUCCAAUAUCUACUAUAGCAUACUAUCGGCUCAAAGAUCAACCUAGACACCAUGUCUAAUUUGAUUUAGGAGGGAAUUUUAACCUAAGCAUCAUGCUUAAUUUAAAAUCCUUUGGAAGUAAGAUCAUCAGUCCUAAACUAAGCACCAUGCUUAAUUAAGAGAUAAAAGAAACUACUCCAAACCUAGACAUAUACUAAAGCAAAUAAAGGUAGCAUGAGAGCAUUUAUAGAGAUCUACUCAAGUGGAGAUGAAGUAGUGUGAUUAGUAUUUAACAAGUUGAGCAUGAUUCAAAGGUAGGGACCACCAACAUAGCAACAUGGCAAAUGAUGAUUUUAUGUAAAGUACUCCCCCAAGCUUGAAUUUUGCAAAAUUCAAGUUUGGAUGAAUUUAAUUCAAUGUUGUAUGAUGAUUGGUUGGACAUACCUUGUGCUUGUCAUUCAUCCGAUCUUCUUGCUCCAAUCCUGGAAAGGUUAGUGACAAGAAUACCCAAAGGAAUAUUUUUACAAUUAUCCUUAUAUGCUCAAUACACAAGUUAAUGUUGCAAAUAAUUAAAAGCUCAUGUUACGAUCUAAUUAGUGCUUUAUUUUAGGACACUAAGCUUGUCCUUGGGAAACCAUCAAUUUAUGUCGGCGAAGUGGUUCCCCCUCCAACGCUGACCUAUAUCAAGAUCAACUCAACGAGAUCUGCAAUAUUUAAUAUAGACAUAUGCAUCGACAACCGUCCUUUUAAAGUUUUUAUAAAUAGAAAGGAUGAGGGGGUUGGAGAUCUCGAAUGUGGUGAUGUUGGAAAAACCAAUGGAUUGGGAAGAUGUUGCAUAUGAGCAUGGAGUAAAUGAAGUGGCUAUGAAAUAAAUUCCAUGCUCAUUAAUGCUUAGAGUGAAAUCCAUGUGGUAUGGUGAAAAUGAUAAGGUGAGUGUGGUAAAAAAGGAAAAGAAAAAGGAUACACGGACGACUUAGUUCAAAACUAGCACAGCUACCGUUCCCCGGCAACGGCGCCAGAAAGCUUGUUGGGUAUUUUAAACGCAAACAGAAAAAUCCGCAAGCGCACGGAUACCGAUGUAGCUUUCACCCGAGAGUAUUCCAGAGUAUCGAUUUUCCACAGAGAAUGUGAGUGUACUAAUUAAGAUCCAAGAUCGCCCAAGGAUAACUAUAUAAUUAUUUUUGGUGGGAAGAGAGGAAGUUUCCUGAGAGUUCUCUAGUUGAUCUAAGAAUCAAGAAUUACUUCAAGAUUAUCUAUAUCGGGACAUCAGAGCACUAACCACAGAAAGAGAUGAGAAGGGGGCUAGGAAGGUCUGACUACGGUCCUACAAACACCGAUCCGAACGUGGUGGAAUACGUCGACCGUUAGGGCUGUCACUACCCUAAGGCUACCACAACAAUCCGCAGGAUUGGGUGCAAUUCCAGGUAAUUGCAAGACUAAACACCACGUCUAAUCUAUUAAUUACUACUCUAGUGUUAUAAAGACUAGAGCACUUGAUGCAAGCUGGAAUCCAAUAAAUAACUUGAAUGUAAAUAAAAGUAAUUAGAGAACUCAGGAGUUAUGAAUUGAAGAACCUGGAGAACGAUGAAGAACGAACCAGAUGUUGCAAAAAUAUAAUGUUGAGGAAGAUCCGACAGAUCCGGCUCCUCCUCCGCUCUCCUCUUCUCUCUCCCUAUUUUCUAGAUUACAACUAGAACUAACUAGAACUAGAACUAGAGGAACUAGAACUAGAACUAGAUGAACUAGAACUAGAUCUAGAUGAACUAGAGGUAGAACUAGAAGAACUAGAGGGAUCCUCUCUACUUGGAUGAAGAAUUGAAACCCUAGCUUUGAUUCUGUAGAAGAGGUAUGAUCUCCAGGGACCAGGGGGGUCUGGUUUUAUAGUCCCUUCAAGUGAAUCUGGGCCGUCGGAUCAAACCAACAUUGAUUGUGUGGUUUUCCUUGAAGUAUUAGGUCGGUGGAGCAUGAUCCCCGAACUUCACCCUGAUUGGUCCAGGGGGGAGGGCGGGCGCCCAGUAAGGGAGGGCGGGCGCCCAGUGCCCGGCUCCGUUACGUCUCCCGUUCGGUCCCGUGGCUUCUGUAGUCUUCUAGAUGAUAGAAAAUUGCGCGGCACGUUAAUAUCUCUAUGUAAACCCGACGUGUGGGCCUUUCUUCCGUAUUUCCUGAUAACUCCCUGCAGAAAUAGACAAACACCAAAACUUGUGGAAUUCUGUCAGAUAAAACCCUAAGUCUAGGUGUUGGUUGCAUUUGGAUCCUUUUCUAUGAUUAGUUGAUGGUUAAAUGUGAGCAUUAAGGACCGUCAACAACCUUCAUAAAGGAGCCUUCUAAAAGGUUGUCCUAUCAACAGGUCGAAGUCCCAUGUAUCAAAGAUAUAGAAGUUCAAAUGAACCAUGGAGCCUUCUACCGUAAGAGGUAGGACAUUAAUAAUUCCAAGACUGGGGACUAAUCGUCCCGAAGAUUCCUUUAUGACCUUUGUUGUGGGGGUUAAGACAAGAUUUUUAAAUAGUUUAAGUGCAAAAGAUUCAGACAUGAUGUUGAUCCCCACAAUAGGAUUAUAAAGAGAAUUAAAUCGAUCAGAAUUAUAAGCACAGCGUAUAGUUAUAGAGGGUGUGUCCAAACGGAUCACAUCAGAGGAAAGCUCUGAUUCCUCCAACCAUUCGCUACUCAUGAUUGAGAUAAGCUCUCUCAAUUGUUAUUCACUUGGCAAAUAAAUGCUAAACUGGCCGUUUUGGGGUUUGUCAAUAGAAUGGUAGUUUGAAAUGUUUCCAAAAUCGUCAAAAAGAUCGGAUUCUAUAUCCAGCAUGAAGUCUGGUGGUGGAAUUUCUUCCUCUUGUGGCUUAGAACAUGGGAUAGCUAAAGUAGAUGAAGGAUUUGGCAGAGUGUCUACUUCGGCUUCGUAGGUUUCAUCAUGAAGGGUAUUAUCCAUCUCAGCUUCUAGGAUUCUAUCUAGGAUCACUCUAGCUACAUCAGUAGGGAUGCGAAAGAAAGAACCUCUAGACAUUGUGUGUGGCAUUUGUUUGUGAUUUUUCUGAAGACCUCGAAAAAAGUGAAAUAAAAGAAUAGGGUCUUCAAGAUUAAGGUUUGGACCAGAUUCUAAAAGAUCAGAAAAAUGUUUCUAGGAUCUUCCCAAAGUUUCAUUAUCUUUUUGUUUAAAAGAUAGGACUUUGAGUUUAAGGUCGGCUAUACGGUCGAGGGAAUAGAAAUCUAGACAAAAGUUGGCUCGUAAAACUCCCCAUUCACCUCGUUGUUGACUUACCUUCUGACUGUACCAUUAUCUAGCUUCUACCCUUAAAGAAAAAGGAAAAAGCUUCCAACGUAAAGUUUUAUCAGAAAUGCCUUCAAUGCGAAGACAAUCACAUGUUUGCUCAAAAUCACUAAUAUGAAGGUAAGGGUUUUCGUCUUCCUUUCCCGAAAAAGAUUGGUUUUGAAUCAUGGCAAUCAACCUAGAACUUAACUUAUACUGGGAUGUUUGGAUAGGCUGUGAUGAUUCCCAUGGUAAAAGGUCAGUUACUGAAGGGAUUGCAGAUUCAUGGAUCGAUUUAGAAUUUUGGUUUUCCAUAAGGUAAGAGUAAAGAAAAUAAAUAAAUAAUAUAAAAGAUAAGAAAAGAUAAAAGUAUAGAUACAAGCUAGUAGUAAGACUCAAGGUUAUCUCAGCAAACCGUCUUUCUCCCCGGCAACAGCGCCAGAAAUGCUUGUUGAUAUUUGGGAAUGCAAUAAGGAAUUGAUCCGCAAGCGCACGGAUAUCGGUGAGCACUUCACCCGGGAGGUUAUCCAGAGUAUCGUAUUUAUUUUUUUACCACUAGGAGAAAGAGUGCAUCUGACUAACCCAGUCUAUUACUACUAACCCUUUAGGCAACAAAGAAUGUUUCUCGAUGUGAGUGAUAAAUAGAGAAGACUGCAACCGUAGUCUCCUUCUAACCUUGGUAAGGAUGAUCUACUGUUCUAUUGGGGAGGCUAACGGAAUCUAGACACCACAAAGGAUGUUCAACCCGCACCUAUAAACCCUAUCCUUCCUGCUAACGAGAUAUGGUCUGCAAAGAUAACUCGGAAUUGUCACGUUCCUCACUACUACCAUGGUCUAGCUAGUCAAGGAAUAUCUAUGAGUACCCCAGCCUAAACACCAUGUUUACGCCAGUAAUGAUUUCUCUAAACUUUACGCGAAGAGAUUAAAGUAAACUCAUAAACCAAAAGAACAAUAAAACAAGUACUUACUAGAAUUUAGAAGUCGAAAUACUGAAGAAUCCUAGGAGCAAACCUUGGGUUAGGAGAACUUGAUCCCACAGGUACAAGCUCAGAGUAGACACCGACAGGCCAGGCCUCCUCCAACCUAAACCUCCACUCUAUCUCUCUCAAUCUAGUAGAAACUAGAAGAUCUAUUUCUACUUACAUUGGUUGCUAAGCCUAAAAAGAAAUUUUAUUUAGAGAAGAGGUUUUCCUUCGAGGGCACCCCUCAACUCUAUGAUAACUUCUUGUCUCCUCCAGGUGCCAGGGGGGUCUCCUUAUAUAGUCCUCCUCCUCUAUGCAUUUUUGGAUCGGUAGGCGAUGUGGUAAUACGUUAUCCUUGAUCCUUUAGGUCGGUGGAACAUCGUGUGCGAAGAGAGUCCUGAUUGGCAUCCAGAGGGGGGCGGGCACCCAGGUCCUCAGGGCGGGCGCCCUGGGCCUGGCCCCUUUCGGCGUCUGCUUUCUUCCCGUGGCUUCUGGAGUAUUCUAGAUGGUAGAAAAUUGCGCGGUGCGUCGAUAUCUCUAUGUAAUCCUGACAUGUGGGCCUUUCUUCCUUAUUUCCUGAUAACCCCCUGUAGAAACAGAUAAACAACAAAACUCGUGGAAUUCUAUCAGAUCAAACCCUAAUUCUAGGUGUUGGUUGCUUAUUGGUCCUUUCUCUUGUUUAUUUGAUAAUUAAAUUUGAUACUUAAGAACCGUCAACAAUGAGCAGAAGCAAGCUAUGACUAAAGCUAUGGAGGAAUAUAAGCAGCUAUGCUUAAAGUCCUUCAGUGUCAACAGGAGUGGCGAAGUGAUCCAAAAGGAGGCAUUACCGAUGCCCCGACAAAUUACUUUUGAAGCCAAUCCUGGUAAAUUAAAAGAUAUGGUUGAUACUGCUAUUAAUCGUGCUUUGAUCAACCAAUCCAGUGUGUUGUCUAAUACUGUCUUCAACGAUGUGGCUAGAACUUUCAAAGAAGGACAGAUACCACCAUCAUAUAUGGGCCCUGCUUAUCAUCAGCCAGGAUUACCAUUGGUCACCGCUCCAUCAGUUCCUCCGAUCGUUGCAGGUACAGAAGUUACUUCUCCUCUAAGCACAUUAGGGAUGACCAAUGGACAAUCUACAUCGGUGGGGACUAAUCCAACAACAUCAGAGGGACGAGUUCAACUUACUACAGAUCUAUCGGCAUCGACAAUGUCAGGGUCUGUGUUCCAGAAUUGUCAGGUUCCUCCUAAUUGGUGGGGAUAUGGUAUGCCCCCAGACUUUGUUGCAAAUAGUUCUAGGACAUGUCAAGUGGCUGACGUGACAGGCAAGGCUCCUAUGACAUCGGCACUUCCAGUGUCGCCGAUGACUCAGAAUCCCCAAUAUUCUACAACCACUACUGUGAGGCCUCUUACUAGAAAAUUUUAGAUGCCGACAUUCCAGAUGCCUAACGCAUCGGCGGAUCCACCGCCAACACAUCAAAGGUUUUUGACCCAGACAGGGUAUGUCAACCCAAUGAUGACGCCCAACCAUCAGCCAUCGAUAGGGCCUACACUGAUGAAUGUUAAGAAUGGAUGGACAGGGCAGUUUGUCUUUCCACAAAUGGCUCAGCAUAAUCAUCAAGCUGCGGGAUUCCAGCAUGGACAGAUGCAAGUUGGUUUUCAGAAUCAAGGACCAGCAAAUAAGCCGACGAAUUUCGCUCAGUAGAUGGGUGGUCAACAGGCUGUGGCUAAUGCCAUGUUCCCUGGAGAUCAUGCACCUCAAAGGCACGUGGAAGCUUAUCAGCAGGCGCCAGAACCUCAACCUGUACAUCGGCAGGAUGCCGAUGCCUAUUGGGCCGAUAAGAUAGCAGAAGUUAUGAGAGAUCAGUUCGGGAUAAAACCUAAGGUCAAUACCUAUUCUUCUCGGACACCGUAUCCUCCUGCAUAUGAUUUGAUCCCACUUCUAAAUCGGUACAAGGUGGUAGAUUUCACUAAAUUCUCUAGAAAACACGAUACGUCAACUAUGGAACAUGUCAAUAGGUUCAUCAUCCAAUGUGGAGAAGCUGCUAAUAUAGAUGAGUUAAGAGUUCGUUUGUUCUCAUCUUUGUCCGGAUCGGCCUUUACUUGGUUCAUUUCAUUGCCUCCAAACUCAGUGAUUACCUGAGCCGAUCUAGAGAAGCAGUUCCAUAAAUACUUCUUUUCUGGGGUUCAUGAGAAGAAGAUUACCAAUUUAGUCAAGCUGAGGCAACGCAAUGAUGAAUCGGUUGAAAGUUUUGUGCAAAGGAUGCGGGAUGUCAAGAAUAAAUGCUAUAGUCUGGUUCUGGAUGAUCGGCAACUAGCCGAUUUGGCUUUCCAAGUGUUGUUGCCACAUAUCAAAGACAAGUAUGCUUCCCAAGAGUUUGAAAGUCUAAGUCACUUGGUGCAGAGGAUUUCUGAUCAGGAUAUCAAAGCUUUUGAACCGAGGAAAGCUUGGAACAAGACGGUGUUAUUUGUUGAUGAGGCAGCAAGUUCAGAUUCUGAUGAAAAACCAGUCAUCGGCUUGGCAAAAUGGGUGAAGAACAAAAAGCCAAUGUCUUGUCAUUUCGGCCAUAAAGAGCAAGAAAAGUAUGCUUUUGACAUCACAAAAGCCGAUAGGAUAUUUGACUUUCUGCUUCAGGAGAGGCAAAUCAAGUUUUCACCCAAUCAUGUGAUUCUGUCGGCAGAAGAAUUGGAAAAGAUCAUGUACUGUAAGUGGCAUAAUGCAACUUCUCAUAGUACAAAUGAGUGCAAGGUAUUUAGGCAACAACUGCAAUCGACUAUAGAAUCUGGGAGAAUUAAAUUUGAUAACUCCAAAACUCAAAAGCCGAUGAAGAUUGAUCAGCAUCCUUUCCCCACAACAUGCUGGAUUUCAAGGGAAAAACCAAAGUCUUGACAUCGGAAGCAGCUGAGAAGAGCGCAUCGGUAGACCCCUAGCAUCAGAUCACUACCGAUGAUGCCAAAGGUAAAGGAUUAAUCCAGGAAGGCACCAGUUCUGGAAGACCUCCUCGGUCCAGCAUUGUGAUCACUUAUAGGCGCCAUCGGGAGACAUGGCAAUAGCGUGAAGAUCGAUAUCGCCACCAGCAAGAGGAUCGUCACCGAGAGGAAGAAAGGCGCCAACGAGAGUGGAAUCGACAUAAAGAUCAUUGGAAUUGCCCAUUUUUCAUCCACUGUUGGGAGUAGAAUAUCAAAUUACGAACUGUCAGAGACUGCCCUGAAUGCAAUGGUUAUAAUCGGCAUGAUCGAUCAGAUCGGCACUAUGAGAACAAUGAUCAACAAUUCAAUGGGUCGAUUAGAGGGAGGAUGUCAGUUCAUGAUCAACUGGGGGCAGGCCCAGUGUGCAUGACAGGCUUGGUUAACAUGUUGAUUAUUUUCCAAGAAACUAAGAGGAGCUUGAGGAGAUGGCAAAUGCACGAGUUCCCGAUAAGUUUAUAUUUUGCAGGGAUGCUAAUACUUAUCGGGUGGAAUCAAGGGAGGCUCGUUAUCAAUCGGUGUGGAGAACGCAAUUUCCCUAGUGGUAUCUGGAGGGAUUGACAAGGACACAAAAGAGGAGGAUGCAGCGAAAGCGGCAGGAAGAACUGAGCAGGGAAGAAAAUUCUGCUAAGUCUAGAGAUCGGCAGCAAUCAGAUCGCAAGGGAAAGGGACCAUCGGCAGAUAUUAACAUGGUAUUUAUGUUGCCUAUGGAGUUUCUUGCACCUUUCGGUGAUGAUGAGGAGAUAAAUUUUCCUGAUCAGAUAGGUCAGUUGGCCCUUGACCCGAUGACAGCUAUGUUUGAGAAGCCUUCUGAUGAUGAAAGGCAACAUCUCAAGGCUUUGUUUGUUAAAGGCAGGGUUGAUGGGCAACCGAUAACCAAGAUACUCAUUGACAGGGUAGCUGCUAUCAACAUUAUGCCAUAUACGAUCUAUCGGAAGCUUGGCAAAGGGGAUUAAGAUGUGACCAAGACCGAUAUGAUGUUAAAAGAUUUUGAAGGGAAUGUAUCUCCAGUCAAAGGGGCUAUAUGUGUUGAGUUGACUAUCGGCAGCAAGACUUUGCCGAUGACUUUCUUUGUUAUCAGUGGAAAAGGUGCAUACAAUUUGCUGUUGGGGAGAGAUUGGAUUCAUGCUAAUUGUUGCAUUCCUUCUACAAUGCACCAAUGCUUGGUUCAGUGGAUAGGAGACAAGAUUAAAAUUGUCCCAGGAGAUUCUUCAUAUGUUAUUGCAUCGGCAGAAUCAGAUACUUAUGAGAAGACUAGAUGUAUUUUGGGGGAAGUUUGGGAGAAGGAUUUUCUCAAGGUUGAUGAUUAUGAAAUUCCAUCGAUCCAAGCAGUCGAUUCUGAUGAAGAGUUUUAAUGGAUAGGUUCGCCGAUGAUGGUAAAUUAGGUGAGGGGUUUACAUCGGCUGAUAAUCUAGUAGAGGUAGAUAUAGGUAAUGGUAAUAGGCCAAGGCCUACUUUUAUUAGUGCUAAGUUAGAUUUUGAGUGUAAGCAACAAUUAACCAAGUUGUUAAAGGAAUAUAAAGAUUGCUUUGCUUGGGAUUAUAUCGAGAUGUCUGGUUUAGACCGAUCGAUUGUCGAACAUCAGUUGCCUAUCAAGUUUGGGUUUCCACCGCAUUAGUAGCCAACACGCCGAUGCAAUCCUAAUAUUCUUCCUGACAUUAAGGCUGAAAUGACCAAACUUAUUGAAACUAUAUUUAUUCGCAGUGUCGGUAUGCCGAAUGGAUUUCCAAUGUUGUCCCCGUUUAUAAAUAGAAUGGGAAACUUCGUGUCUGCAUUGACUUUAGGAAUCUCAAUAAAGCCACGCCGAUGGAUGAUUAUCCAAUACAAGUUGCUGAUUUGUUAGUUGAUGCUGCAGCCGGACAUUGGAUUGUUAGCUUUAUGGAUGGUAAUGCAGGUUACAAUCAAAUAUUCAUGGCUGAAGAAGAUAUUCCCAAGUCUACAUUUAGAUGUCCUGGUCAUGUUGGAUUGUUUGAAUGGAUUGUCAUGACUUUUGGCUUGAAAAAUGCUGGUGCUACUUAUAAGAGGGCUAUAAAUUUUAUCUUCCAUGAGUUCAUCGGCAAGUUGGUGGAAAUAUAUAUUGAUGACGUGGUGGUUAAGUCUGGAGAUUUCAUAAAAUAUCUAGCCGAUUUACGAAAGGUGUUGGAGUGCACAAGGAAACAUGGUUUAAAGAUGAAUCCUAAUAAAUGUGCAUUUGGUGUAUCGGCAAGACAGUUUCUUGGUUUCAUGGUGCAUCAAAGAGGAAUUGAGAUUAGUAGGAGAUCUAUUGAUGCCAUCAAUAAGAUAGUUGCUCCCACCAAUAAAACUGAACUUCAAUCAUUGAUCGGCAAGGUUAAUUUUAUCAGACGAUUUAUAUCUAGUUUGUCUGGUAAGAUUCGUUCUUUUAGCCCUUUGCUUAAGUUAAAAGCCAAUCAGGAAUUUGUGUGGGGAAAAGAGCAACAAUUGGCACUGGAUGAAAUUAAGAAUUAUUUGAUAAAUCCUCCAGUUUUGAUUCCACCUCAACAAGAAAAGCCAUUCAAAUUAUAUUUAUCUACCGACGAGAUGGUCAUCGGUUCAUCUCUAAUUCAAGAAUUUGAAGGGAAGGAGCGUGUGAUUUAUUAUCUAAGUAGAAGAUUGGUGGAUGCAGAAACGAGGUAUUCGGCAAUUGAGAAACUGUGCUUAUGCUUAUACUUUUCGUGCAUCAAAUUGAGACACUACUUGCUAUCAGCCAAAUGCACUGUUAUAUGCAAAGAUGAUGUGGUCCGAUAUAUGUUAUCGAUGCCAAAAGACAAAGCCCAAGCGACGAUGGGUCGAGGGGAUUACCAUAUCCAAGUAAUCUUCAUCAGGCUUCAUGGGGAAGGAAUUCAUGAGCUCAGGCUUGAAAUCACCCGAGACGACCGCCCUGACACUGGUAGCAACCUCCUUGUUAGGGAGCGCCUUGUUCGACAUCCGACACGCCUUGAGGACCUGGGACAGAGCGUGUAGGCCCAUCUCGUCCAUCCUCAGUGGUCGAGACAUCAACGGAAGCACCCGUCGAUGGUGGACCGUUGAGAGGACCAGAGCCGCGGUCAGGCCUUCCAUGCGCACACACUUCAAGGCCUCAAGAAGAGGGCAAAGCCGAGCUUGAUGGGUCUUGACGACAACGUAAUUCCAAUUGUCGGGGUGCUCCUUGAUCAGCCACCCAGUGUAGGCAGGGAAGAGGCCAUCGUCGUUGCGCAAGUAGAACCAUUGAGAGUCCCACUGGGCAUGUUUCGACGUCAGCCCAUUGGGAAUGUACUCUCGAGGCUCGUCCGUAUGCCCCAUCUUCUGGACUAGGUUGAGGCACCUGGCCCGUACUGGUUUCCUCAGCCCAACAGCCCCACCGGAAGCACGGAACAGCUCACCCCGGAAGAGGUGGAGCUACAACUCCCAGUGCGACAUCACUCCCAGGUAGCCUUCACACACCGCGGCAAAGAUCGCCGCGGUGAAGACCUCAUUGGGGGAGAAAUGCUGGAGCUCGAUAUCGUAGUGGUGGAGGAGCACCCUCAUGAAGCAGCUCGGAGGAGAUCCGAGCCCGUGGUGGAACUUGAUGAACGAGACGACAUAGCACUCCGGCGGGCUUGGCUCUCGGUGCUCCACCGGCGGCGCGAUCCACUCGGGCCGUGUCGAGGAAGUGAGAGGGCGCAGGAGCCCCUCCUUCUCGAGAUCCUGCAGGCGACGCUCUAUCACGAUCGACGGGCUCCACUCGUCGGCGGCGACAAGUCUCACCGACAUCGUCUUGCGCACGAAAAGGCGCGAUGGAACCCUGACUGUCUCUCCUCUCUGAGCUCUUUUUGUCUUAGUGCGCAGGGCGACGCGGGGAGAGAAGGAACAAAAGAAGUGGCAGAAUGCAGAAUGUAGCAGAACCGCCCAAUUUACAAGAGAUCAACUAUGAAAAACUUCCGCCAAAGCAGUAGCUUUAACAUAAUCGAACUCUCAUAAACCCGGUAGUCCGUGAAAUCAUGAGGGAUUUCAAACCAACCAGCAUACAAGCCAAGAUCGUAGUGAUUCAACAUAACAAGUCACAUGUUACAUCCAUUUCACAAGUAGUUUGAUAUACAUCAGAGUUUAAUAUAUUUAUUACAACUUGAGUUGAAAAGUAGUGGAAGCAAAGUAAUUUGAAACAAAUAUUGCUCUCAUUUCAAAUACAUGCCAGUAUCUUGGUCAACUCCAUCAAAAGCAGUAUAGAUGAGGUAACUAAGAAGGAUCAUGCCCAUGAUCUUACUCCUCUAAUAUGGUAGGAGUCAUCCAACUCUUGCAGUAGCACAUCACAACCUGCAACAAGUGGGAAUAAACCCUGAGUACGAGAAGGUACUCAGCUAGACUUACCCGUCAUAAACCAGAAAUAAUAUGACACCAAGGAGUAUGCAAGGCUUUAUUGGUGGAGCUAGCUUGACAACACUUUUUGCAUAAAAAGCUUAAGUUGCAACUAAGUAACCUUUCAGGUAUUUAGCUCAAGUUAAUAAUCAUUAACCUGUCAUCUAGAUUAGCACCUGUACUAAAGAAAUCACUUGAUUAAGAUACAAAAGUAGUAUCCAUACUAGAGGUAGCAUUUCCAUCAUUAUCAUCAUACCAUAACCAUCCAAGUGUUCCAUAAACAUUACUACGAGGACGUGGCUCAAGUCAAGUGCUCACUAUACAGGAGCGAUGGCGAUUCGAAUCGAUUUCUGACCAGCUGGCGAGUUAUUCCCCACACAAACCACACUCACUGAUCAAGUGAGCUACAGGUCACCAUAUUGCACUAUCCAGGACUAAUUCGCGGGUUUGACAGGCACCGCCCGUACCCGAGGACCGUUCCGGCGACCGAGGUAUCCAAGGUAUACCAAGGUUGCGCGCCGCGCCCUCGUCGUUCUCCUCAACCAUCACCAAUACAGCGCGUACAUAGGGCCGAUUCCCGGCCCGGAUAGUACUCAGGCUUCGCGGUCGGAACGACUUAUCCUUCCAGCUAAUUGUGGGGCAUGCGUUCAACAUGACAAGAGGGCCGUCAACGAUUGGUCCUUAAUCGACACAGGCGGGGAUAGAUAGGCACCCAAGACCUCCAUGUCUUGUUACUUCUCUAACAUCGUCCCGCCCGGUCUCCAAUUAUUCAUCCUCAUCACUUGGUUAUUUCCAUGAUAGCAUAUAUAGAUAACCUUUUCAGGUGUCCACCUAUCUCGCUCAGGUGACAGGAUAUCACCUGGCUUCUACCGGUCUAAGCAUAGCUAAGCAUUUAGAUUCGAUCCUGAAUCUACAUAGGGUUAUAGGUAUAUUUGCUGGACAAGGAGUGUUAUAUGCAGCAAGGGUUUCACCCAACUCCUAUACUUAAUGCAACAAUAUAUAUAUAACAUAUAUUCUCAAUUGCAUUGAAAAGUAGUAGGAGACUUAUAAUGCUCCGGGGCUUGCAUGGGAUCAACACUGAGUCAGUUCAGUUAGUUGCUCCGUCUUGGUGACAUCUAAGGUCACAACACUUGCUUAGUCAUUCCACCUUUGGGAGAGGUCCACCAAACACCAUCUUUGAGUUUGAUUCCACAUCAUGACCUUCACGUGAUUCAUCUAGCGCACCUAGAUGAGAUGCAAGAUGCAAGUUCAUGAAUAUAAAGAAUAAUAACACAACAUGCAACACAGAAAAGUAUGCAAGACAUAGGCAUUUAAAGUUAUUUAGCUAACAUCACACGACCAAUUAUAUAGAGCAAACAAAUCAAUAAUGACACAAGUUCUACAAGGUUACAAGUGUAUUACUUAAUCACCAUUAAAGACAUGAAUCACAGUUUGCACACAACAAGUAAAGCAAUCAAGCAUUCAUGCAUUUCAGCAAUUUUGGACAUACAUGCAGCAACUCAGUAAACAAUUCAUAACUAGAGCUACACAGAUCCAAAAACUAUGCAAUAGGACAUUAUGGAAACAUUAUAAAAUCAUCUACAAUUCAUAUUUAAUCAUAUUAGCAUGAUUAACAAGUUAACCAAGUCAAACAUGCAUGACCAUAUAAUCUGGUCCCGAAAUUUCCAGAGAACAAGCAUUUCAAGGGAUGAACUUCAUACUACUGUAACUCACAAACCACUUAGCCAAAUGAUAUGAAACUUUACCACAAGAUAUAUUAAUAAAUUAUAUACAUAUUUUAUAUAGACAAGUUGCACAAGAAACAUCAUUUAUAUCAUGAAAUUAGUUGCACAAUCAAAACUGCUCAUGCUGCCCAAACAGUAGGGGUACAAUUACACACAGAAAACUGAUAGGCAAUUAAAAGCAGCAUAACUGGAGUUGUAGACCUCCAGCAAACAUAAUUUUUAUAUUUGUGGAAAGCUUAUAAAGUUACCCACAACUUUCUUAUUAUCAUCUAAAUAUAAUUCCACAGUUAACAAGGUCAAUUAAUCCCAUGAAGGCAUCUCUGUCCAAAACAUAGACAGAAUCUGUCAUGCUACAUUAAACAGCUAUAACUUGAGGUUCACAUGUCCAUCAUUUAUGGUUGUGUACUUACUAGAAAUCUUACGAAAUUGUGAACAAUUUUGUUAUAAACAUCUAGAGAUAAAUCUACCACUAACAAGGUCUUACAUUACAAACAAUGCAAUCCUGUCUGGGUUUAGACAGAAACUGGAACAGUAAUUUAAACCACUAUAACUCAACAUGUGCUCAACCAACAAUUGUGCUAUUUAUCUCUUUGGAAAGCUCAUGAAAAGUACUAAAACUUAUUUAUUUUCAUUAAGGCAUGAUUCACAACUGAACUGAGCCAAACAAUACAAACAUGCAGAUCCACUCAGAAUAGGAGCAAAGGAACACAGGGUAUUUCUUAUUUUUAUAACUCUUAAUCUAUUGUUCCUAAAUUCAUGAAACUUUUACCAGUGAUCAAAUAUCAUUUGAAAAGCAUGUCACAAUAUUUUCACAUUUAUAUGGGCAACAACACAGCAGUUAUGAAAAAGACAAAUAUAACAAUGAAUUAAAACCUAACUGCAUAAAUCUAUUUUUACGACUAAAACUUCAAACUAAACCAUGCCAUAUUAUAGAUCUACUGCAUAGAGAAUUUCAUAACGAUUCCAAAAAGUCCACAUUUGCUAUUUUACGACUUUUCUAUGAAUUACUAUGCAUUUCCAAAUAUCAUCCAGAAAUCUGCAUAAAGAAAAGAUAAAGGAAAACACUUUUGCUUCGGGAACCCUGGGCUUUUUCGAAAUCAACCGCAGUCCAGAUGCACUAUUCAUAUGAGUCUUAGCUUCGCGUCUGGAACCCUGAGUUGUUUCAUAUUCUAACCCGAGAUCCCUCCUUCUCUAUACCGGACAGACAGGAAGGCAAAAUCCAGCUUCGGGGUCACGGGCGACGCCAUCGACGAGGAAGCGACGCUGGGGUCUCCAAAGCUCCCACGCGACCACGAUGGGGCUCAGCCUGGAGGACGGCCCGGUCACGAUGCUCAUCCAUGCUAGCUGCUCGGGGUAGCGGGCGGCAAUGGUGGUGUCCGUGCUCGACAGUGAUGGGGAGCGAGUUGGAGAGACACAGAGAGGCGGAGGGAGUGGAGGGGAGGUGGAGGCGAGUGAAUGAGGGAGUGGUGAGCCCUUCUGGCUGUCCCAAACGCGAAAUGGAGCAGCAGCAGAGGUGCAGCAAUGGUGGGGCGCGCUCUGGUGCAUGGCGACCACGCAGGCAUUUCAUCGAACACGUGGCGCGCGUCGGAGUAGGCAAGGUGGGAGGCGAUUUUGGGCUUGUUCCUGGCCGAAUUUGAGGAUGGGCCAAAAACAAAGUUUGCUCUCCUCGGCCUGCUCUCCAACUUUGAUUAAGGGUUCUCAGUCAUUAGACCAACAGAUUAGGAGAUAACUUAAUGCCAAGUCACGAGUGUCAACGUAUUCACGGUGAUUAGCAAAACCAAGAAUUGAUGGUCCAAAUCAUGUCAAACAUGAUGCGACUUGUUACAUGACCUUCUCCAAGUAAUUGUCCACCACUUUUAUUCUUGGACCAACUUUAGUUGCUUAACAAAAACACGAGAACGCGGCAUGCCAACGGGUCGAUGUCCGUUUAGCGAUAAAAUAACUUUUUGUUGUUUUGAGAGCUACUUUUAGAUAUCCAAAUGAACUCCAAAUUUGAUGAUACUUGAUCCAUUGCUUUCAUCAAAAAGAGUACUCCAACUCAUAUUAAGGAAUCUAAUUGAGUUACCAUAUGAAUUUGGAUGCUAAAAUGUCACAAAGAAGCUAACUUGCUGCUGUCACUUUCCGGGACAGAAUUAUUUCUCAGGGCUAAAAAGCAGCAGCUGAUUCGAACUUUGAGCCUCUGUUUGAACUAUUUGUAGGCUGAUUUGGUUCUUGACCCUUGAAUAAAGUUUCUUCUACAGAAGGAAAACUACAACUUUUAUUUAGGGCCAAUCCUCAUAACUCCAACCGAAGUCAAACUUUCACUUUGGUCAAUGCAGUAUCCUGAUAAAGCUCCAAAUAGGAUUUUAGGCCAAUUCAAGCAUUUUCUUGACAUAAGCUCAACAUGAACCCUUCAUGACUUUUGUUGUAUAACUCAUCUAGUGUUGUCGGCGUCUAGACUCGUGGUCUAGGCACUAACAAGUAUAAGUCUGCGUGACUACCCAAAUUUGGAUUUUGAUGCAAGUGAGACACAGAGAGUUUAUACUGGUUGGGGCCAAGAAUGCCCUACGUCCAGUGUGGCUGUGGAUUCUGUAUAAUCUUGCACCCAAAGGUGCUUGCAGUAGGGGGUACAAGCUGGUUGCGAGAGAGGGCUAAGUCCCAGGUCUCGGCUUAGUGGUGGACAGAGUGGUGAUCGCUGCUCUGUGGAAGAGUGUGGCGGUAGUGUGUAUUCCUUCUGAACUUGUUCCUAGUUGUGAACCCUGGUUUCCCUUUUAUAGCCCCAAGGGAAGACCAGGUAUUUACAUGAGUAGAUUUCUUUUAUUGAAUGGUGAAACCACAGUCCCGACCCUGUUGAGGCUGGUCCAUCUCGUCCUUGAGGGAUGGUUGACAGCAUGGCUGUUCCUGUAGAGGGUUACCGAGCCCUGUAGGGGUCGCGGGGGUCGGAUCGCCAGCACUGCUGCACAUCCUGUCAAUAGUGGGAAAAGUCCCCAAAUAAUGGUGCUGAUUAAUCUCUCCCAUUCCCUUUCUCCUGUACCGUGACAGAGGUAACGCCAUAGUGACCGGGGUAGUUGGAACAGUCGGCACCCUGCCCUGCUGCGGUAUGGGAGUCAUCGCGUCUGUCAUGUUGUGGGUACGGGCGCCGUGCGGUGGAAGUCUUGCUGCCCAGGUGGAGUGGGGUCCGGCGCCUGAGCCCGGACGGGGUCGGGCGAGUCGGCACUUGCGUUCGAGGCCCUGAGGGGUCGGGCGAGUCGGAACUUGAGUCCGAGGCCCUGAGGGGUCGGGCGAGUCAGAACUUGCGUCCGAGGCCCUGAGGGGUCGGGCGAGUCGGAACUUGCGUCCGAGGCCCUGAUGAUUGUGGUAUGUUUUUUUGCGUUUUUUAUUGCUCUGAUUUGGGUAUCCCUUAUUAUGGUACCCAACAGUAGCCCCCGAGCCUCUGAAGGGGUGAGGUCACCUCUUUAGAGGUUCUUUCCCCACGGACUGUAGUUGACUAGGAGCCUUUUACUUUUCUCCGGGGGGUGCGCGCGAGCGCACCCGCCGGGUGUAGCCCCCGAGCCUUUUGGAGGAAUGGUGUUAUUUCUUCAAAGGCUUUCACCCCUUGACAGCUAUAGUCUGGAGUGUUUUAAGGGAUAGGUUGCGUGUUCUUUACACGUAGUGCCUGUUCCCAUGGUGCGAGGAAGCCCCCGAGCCCUUUCCCCGUAAGGGUCGAUCAGGUUCUUUCUCGUCUUGUAAUUACGUCCCUCAUUCUUCCUUUCGCUCGGAGGAGGGGUGGGUCGUGCCGUACUACCCUCGAUGGGCGAGUGACGAUGCUUCCCGGAGCUGCAGGCGGGUAGAUCCAAGUGGAUGUCCGAGUCCCGUUCGAUAUGGGUCGGCUAGUGGCCUUAUGGGCACAUCUCAAAAAGUACCCGAGGGCAGUCACGGUGGAUGUCAGAACCGUUCGUUAGGUUCCGAAGGCUCGAUGCCUCCCUCGAUGGGAUUCCACUCACGUGACACCCGCAUGGGUCUCGGAUAUGACUUGUAAAGAUGCGCCGACUCCCUGUUGGGCUUGGACCUUGGCCUCUAUUGUGCUCAUCUUCAGUCAUCCCUCGCUCAGUCAUCCUGAGGCGACUGUUCGAACCUGUGUCGCAGGUCAGUCUCGCAACCUCUGGAAUGUAGGUGGCCAUGGCCUGGAGAUUUUGGGCCUCGAAAGGCUUUUUUUAGACUCGUUUUGUAGUGUUGGGGGUCGGGCGAGACGGAAAAUUGCGCCCGACGGAGACCUUCCUGCGACGCUUGGUCAGCGGGGGGUCGGGCGCCGCGUCCCCUGGAAGGAACCGCCCUGACAUAACUUUUCAGGGCGCUUCUUUUGAGGCGCGGCACGCGGGACUCGAAACGGCCGUGCCGUCUCGCCUGGACCAGAUGGGACGUUUCGCCUACGAAAUUAAUGCGCGCGUGCGGCGGGCGCGGGAAUCGAAGGGAGUUGGAGCUUCGAAUUUUUCACCUGGUGGGGAGUGGGCGACGGUUGCUCUCUCUCCUGCUUGGCCUUCCUCGUAGGGGCGCGGUCGUGGCUCGCCCCUUCUAUAAAAGCGGCCGCUGGGGGCUUGGUUUCUUUCCUCUCGCUCCUGCGCCACAAAGCCCCUGCCUCCUGCUCUUUCUUCCGCCGCCAUCUCCUCCACUUCCGCCGCGCAGACACUCCUCCUCCUCCCAAAACCAUGGCCGGCGUUGAGGCGUGGCCGCCCUGCAACGUGACCAAGUCCGUGCUGGAGGCACGCGUGAAGGCCGAGAUUCUCCGUCCUCUCAAGGACGUCGGGUUCCCGGAGUGGAUCGUUCCCCCGGAGACGACAGGGAGCCAAACCCGUCGCCGGGCUAUGUGGUCUGCUUCCUGUCGUUCUUAGACCGGGGGUUCGGGGUUCCGGCCGGCCGCCUGAUCAGGGCUAUCCUCCACUACUACGAGGUGGAGCUGCACAACCUGAAUCCCAACUCGGUGAUGCAGGCCGCUGUCUUGGCCACGGUUUGUGAGGGGUUCCUGGGGGUUCCUAUCAAUUGGAACCUCUGGCUUCACCUGUUCAAGGCGGACAUGUCGGCCCGUUACAUGGGGAAGGAGAAGAUCCCCUUGCGGGCCGGUGGCUACACGCUGCAGCUUCGUCAGCAACGGUCCGGAUUGUAUAUCUGGAGCUCGAUGCCAUCAUCAAACCAGGGGUGGCAGAGCGCGUGGUUCUACCUCCGGAAUGACGGCGGUCUCCUGCCAAAGUACACCGGGAAGAUGGUGACGGAGGCCCCCCAGAAGUGGGUGUGGGGUGCUCCGGCCGAGGAGCAGAAGAAGCUCGCCCCGCUUCUUGCGGGGCUUCAAAAGCUGCUAGAGGCCCGAGUCACUGCGGCCACGGUGACAAUAGCGUUCCACAAGAGGAGCCUGCUUCCGCUGGCGCAGCGCCGGGUGCCCAUGUUUGAGAUGACCCGGGAUGUCCCUUGGGCAGGGACGAAGAUGUUAGCCGAGCCGAUAUCGGCUUCGGACAUCGCCGCCCGGGUCGAGAAGACCACGCACUCGGAGUUGAAGAACUCCUGGGUGGUGCCGAUGCGCCCUGAAAAGGGCUAUAUCUCCCUGGUAAGAAAGUGUCCUUUGUCUUGAUUUCUUGCUCUUGUUUUUUCUUCCGUCUGAUUCCUUGUUUAUCUGCUUGCUCCACAGGGGAUGGGGGCCGUCAAGGAUUCCCUACCCCCAGUCCCUGAGGAUAAGGAGAUCCGGGCCAAGAACAGGGCCUGAAAUGAGGAACAGAAAAAGGUGAAGGAGGACAAGAAAGCGAAGGCGGCGUGGAAAGCGCAACGGCGGGAGAUCUCCGCCAAGAAUCACCGAGAAGCCAAGAAGGCGGGGGUCGCCUCGCCUCCGUCUCCUGAGACUUCGGUCUCGGAGAUAGAGGGCGGAGGAGACAACACCGACUGGCUCGACGAGCUGGCGGAGGAGGAUGACGUUAUCCCACCUGCCGGCGGGGGGAUCGAGGCCUCGGAGGGGUCGAAGGCCCGAGGGGGGUCGGAGGCCCCCGAGGGGACCCAUGCGCCGGGGGGCGGACAGGCCGCCCCCCACAUCAUUGUGGAUGAUGAGGACAGCACCCCUCGUGAGGGUUCAGCCCCGGUGGGUCCUCAAGAAGGGGAGAAGGCAUCGGGGGUCGGAUCCGAGGCGCCACCUCAACCGGUAGUGCCAGAGGCUCUGGCCGAGCCCGCCCCAACGUCCGGGGCGGGAACCGGUGCCUUGGUGGAGGCGUCGCAGGCUGAGGUCGCCGUGGUGUCUCCUGCGCCAUCAGCAGGCGAGGCGGGGGUCGGACCGGCGCCCCCUGGCGCCGCGGGAGGCCCCAUAGGAGCUCCGAGCUCCCAGAAGAAGUCUGCUCCCCGAGCGAGGUAUGUAUAGGAUUUCUGAUUCCUCUGCUGAUUUUUUGUUUUUCUCUUUCUUCUGAUUUGGAGUUGCUCCUCCAGCCGCAAGCAAAAAGCGCCUUCGGUGGCGCUGGCCUCCCUAAAGGCUGUGAAGAGGGGGGCUCAGUCGACUCCUGGGUCGGCUAGGCCUGUGUCGCCGCCGCCUCCGGGCUACGAGGAGGCGGGGCGCCACCAGGGGCAGGACACGGGGGCGCCAAAACCCCGAGGACCGGAGGAGACGGCCCUUGCCUCCGGGGCUGUGCCUCCCCCGGAGGAUGCCGAUCUGGGGGGUGUGGGCCGACCCACGCCUACUGAGGAAGGCCGAGCUAUCGUGGCGUCCAGCGCGGCGCCCGAGGCCCCUGCGGCGGGAAGGGAGGAAGAUGCCCGAUGGGGCAAGAGCCCCGUAAUCUGGCCCAACCUCGGCGAUGCCGAGGGGGGAGCCAGAUUCGUUCUGGACUAUCCGUCAGAGGAUUACCUCUGGCAGGGUCUGGAAUCGUGUGGGCGUGCCAGCGUCGAGGCCAUCAACCGAGCUUCUCAGCUCGUGGCCCGGGACAUGUUCAAUUUGGCCCAGGUAAAGCUUUCACCCAUGUUGUAGAGUAGUUUUGUUUUUAUUUUGCAAUGCUGACUCCCUGCACGACUUCCGACUCUGCAGGCGCUCAAGGCCACAUCCCUAGAGAAGUCAGUCUUUCUCCACCGGGAAAGGGACGCCUAGGCCAUUUAUGAGAACGAGAGGGCUGCCAGGGAGGCAGCAGAGGGGGAGCUUGCGAGGGAGUGCGAGGUUUCUGUCGAGCUUCGGCAGAAGUGCUCGGCACUGGCCACCGAGGCUCGGGAGGCCCGGGACAAGGUCGCCCCCUUGGAGGAGAGGUUUGGGGCCCUUGCCUGGGAAUCCGAGGUGCAGAAGGUGGCGGCUGAGGGGUAUAAGGGUGAGGUUGCUCGGCUUGAAGCUUUGCUUGCCGAAAAAGACCUUGCCUUGAACCAAGCUCAGACCGACCUAGCCGGGGCUCUGAGCCAGGUGGCCCGCUGGAAUCAGAGCUCGGCGGAGCACGAAAAGCGAGCCGAGGGUAAGACCUGUGCCUUUUACCUUCGCCCCCCUUUGUACUCCGAGCUAGUUUUCCUGAUCAUUUUGCUUUUUAACAAAAUUAGAGAGGAAGGUGGUCGAGGCAACUUCUGUUGCCGAGGGCCUGCAGAAGUCCCUUGACGCCGAGGCUUCGGACCGCUCGGCUCUGGAAGCCGUGGUCACCUCGGCGUGCGAGGUGCUUGGCGUGUCUGCGUUGGGGUCGUCGCUGCGGAGUCGGGUCGAAGCCCUUUACUCCCGGGCCUGGGAGAGGAUGAGGGAGGCGCUCCAUGCCGGGGUGAAGAAAGCCCUGGCGGUGAUGAGCUCUCACUACACCGGUAUUGACUUGCCGGCGGUUUGUAAGGGCUAUGUUCUCCCUGAUGAUGAGACGGAGGCCCAGGAGGAGGUGCAGAGGCUUGAGGAUGCCGCGGCUGCCCCCGGAGAUGCCUUAGCCGCCUUCUUCGACGACGAGGUGGAGCUUCCGCCCCUUGGGGCUCGAGGACCUGGGCAGACAGGGCAGCAGGACCCUUAGGUUUCUUUUCUUUUUGUGGGUGUUGAGGCCAGUGGGCCUUGUAAUAUAUAUAUACAAUGUUAAUGUCGAAUGUAGAUAUUUGUGUAACUGCUCUUUUUGAGCUUUUUCCCUAAGUGUCUUAUUUUCUUUCUCUUUAUGCCGAUCCGACCUCGGCAGCGCGAGGUCGGGUGAGCUACUUAGAGUUUUGCGCUAGCCAGAGUCCCCGAGCCUAAGUCCUUUUCCAUUUUCCUUAGUAACUCUUGGAAGUCCGAAUUCGUUCCCCGAAUCUAAGGUGAGUAGAGGCGGUCUUUGCUCGUGAGCGCGGAUCCUUCCUUGGGCUCAUGCCUUAAGAUUUAGGGGACGGAUUUUCGGUUUCUUAAGUCUUUUUAGGAGGGAGGAGGAAGACCUUGGGUCGGGGUUCUUUUAACUUGCACGAAAAAAGAAAAAGAUUCGGAGUCGACAUAGGGGGUUCCCCCAUGUAGCCCCCGAGGGAGGCUCGGACUCUGCUUGGCAGGUCCGAGGCUCUCUGAUAACUUAGACUUUGAUUUAUUCCUUGAAGGUAAUGAAUGAACAAAGAAAUUUUUACAAAGUUCUAAGGGUAAAAGCGACGUAGUUGUUCUAUGUUCCAUGCGUUUUUGAAGACCUCCCCUGCUUCAUUGGCAAGCUUGUAGGUCCCGGGUCGGAGGACUUCGGCGAUGACGAAGGGUCCUUCCCAGGGGGGUGUGAACUUGUGACGACCCUUGUUGCUCUGUCUGAGCCUUAGCAUGAAGUCGCCGACUUGAAAGGCUCGGCCUCGGAUCCGUCGCGCAUGGUGUUGGGUAUUCUUAACAUCAUUACCAAAAGUAGACUAAGUUCUCUAAAUCUAGUAACGGUGCCAAAAAUGCCAAAUCUAUCCCUCACACCACUUAAGCCAAGUUGUCAUCCCCAGCAUGAUAUGAGAGACGCGGUAUUGAAAUAUGCAAUUGCUCUUCUAAAUAAAUAAUGAAUGGGAUCUGCAAGCGCACAGAUUAAUACCGAUGCAGCAUUUUAACCGGAAAGUAUUCCAAGUAUCGUUAUUUAUAUUUUUACCACUGGGAAGGGAUUAGAAAUCAUCACUAAUGAUUACAGAAUAGAAUAUGAGAUUGAGCAUCUAUCAUUGCAUGUAUAAUUGAGAACAUUAUAUCUAACUCAUCAUACAGGGAUAAAUGUCACAUAAAAGAUAUAUGAAAUAAUAAUAGUGACAAGGAUAACUAAUCUGAUCUAGCCACAUAAUAAAUAUGAUAAGCACCUCAAUUAGAUACUCUAGAAAGUCAUUAGCAUGGUAUUAGAAUGAACUACAAGAAUAUUCCCUAAGUUAUUCUCAACUAUAUAGUCUAGCAUUAUCAUAGUUAGUGCAAGCAUACUUAGCAAUCAUUGUGAGACAAGACUACGCCCAUGCAUAGUGAUAUUAGCAAGGAAUAUGAGAAACAUAGCAAUCACACCCCUGUAAUAAUGUUGCUCUGCCAGCCCAAUACAUGAGAGGGGGACUAUAUAAGAAUCAAUGAAGCUGUCACUAUCACGAACUACCCCACGAUCUGGCAUAUUGGGUACAAUCGCAGAUAAAUACGGUAUAAGCACCACGCCUACAAAAUAUCUAUCAUUUACCCAUGGAUCCGAUGGAUAAACGCUAUACGAUCCUAAGCAUGUAUAUAGAUCGUAUCUAACUAAGCCAAGUACAUAACUAUGAUAAACUAAGAACAAUAUAAUCUUGAAUAUAAGCAAGUAGAGCAAAGUCAUAAGCAAUAUAUUGAAGUAGAACAAAGUCAUAUUCAUAAUAUUGAAGAACAAAGAUAAUUAGAAAGUAAUUAGAAGCACAAUUAGAGAAUUACCAAGAAUCCUCCUGACAGAUUCGGAAACCAAUCGAAGAUUGACUCCUUCUAGUUCUAAUCCUAUGUAGCUAUGCUAAUCUAGAUGUCUAAUUGAUGUGGUGGCUCUAAUCUUGAUCAGAGGCUUCUUCUCCCUUGAUGGAACAAUGAAUUAGGGUUGAGAGGCUCUCUCCUCUAGGGGCCAGGGGUUGUUGGGUAUUUUAAACGCAAACAGAAAAAAUCCGCAAGCGCACGGAUACCGAUGUAGCUUUCACCCGGGAGUAUUCCAGAGUAUCGAUUUUCCACAGAGAACGUGAGUGUACUAAUUAAGAUCCAAGAUCGCCCAAGGAUAACUAUAUAAUUAUUUUUGGUUGGAAGAGAUGAAGUUUCCUGAGAGUUCUCUAGUUGAUCUAAGAAUCAAGAAUUACUUCAAGAUUAUCUAUAUCGGGACAUCAGAGCACUAACCACGGAAAGAGAUGAGAAGGGGGCUAGGAAGGUCUGACUACGGUCCUACAAACACCGAUCCGAACGAGGUGGAAUACGUCGACCGUUAGGGCUGUCACUACCUCAAGGCUACCACAACAAUCCGCAGGAUUGGGUGCAAUUCCAGGUAAUUGCAAGACUAAACACCACGUCUAAUCUAUUAAUUACUACUCUAAUGUUGCAAAGACUAGAGCACUUGAUGCAAGCGGGAAUCCAAUAAAUAACUUGAAUGUAAAUAAAAGUAAUUAAAGAACUCAGGAUUAUGAAUUGAAGAACCUAGAGAACGGUGAAGAACGAACCAGUUGCUGCAAAAGUAUAAUGUUGAGGAAGAUCCGACAGAUCCGGCUCCUCCUCCGCUCUCCUCUUCUCUCUCCCUAUUUUCUAGAUUACAACUAGAACUAACUAGAACUAGAACUAGAGGAACUAGAACUAGAACUAGAUGAACUAGAACUAGAUCUAGAUGAACUAGAGGUAUAACUAGAAGAACUAGAGGGAUCCUCUCUACUUGGAUGAAGAAUUGAAACCCUAGCUUUGAUUCUAUAGAAGAGGUAUGAUCUCCAGGGGCCAGGGGGUCUAGUUUUAUAGUCCCUUCAAGUGAAUCUGGGCCGUCGGAUCAAACCGACAUUGAUCGCACGGUUUUCCUUGAUCCUUUAGGUCGGUGGAGCGUUGUCCACGAAACGUGACCGAAUUGGUCUCUAGAAGUGGGCGGGCGCCCAAGGGACUAGGGCGGGCGCCCUGUGCCUGAGCCCUCUCGGCCUCCGCUUCGGUCCCGUGGCUUCUGGAGUCUUCUAGAUGAUAGAACAUUGCACGGCACGUUAAUAUCUCUAUGUAAACCCGACGUGUGGGCCUUUCUUCCGUAUUUCCUGAUAACCCCCUGCAGAAACAGACAAACACCAAAACUCGUGGAAUUCUGUUAGAUAAAACCCUAAGUCUGGGUGUUGGUUGCAUUUGGAUCCUUUUCCAUGAUUAGUUGAUGGUUAAAUGUGAGCAUUAAGGACCGUCAACAAGCUCCCCCAAGCUUAACUUUGCUCGUCCCUGAGCAAAGCUAAAAUCAACAAGAAAACAGGGGUUACUUUUAUGCCUCUUACUACAGGGUUUUUAAGUUAUCAAUAAGGUCUUAAGUGAUUGAAAAACAGAAUGAUCAAGUCAAGCACUAUGUCUCAAGUUCUUCUGUCUUACCUUUGUUCUGGAGUUUUUUUAUAAGUCUGCAAAAUGAAACUGAGGCAUUGCCUUCUUCUCGAAAGAUAUAUAAGUAGAGCUUUAAAAGUUUUAGCAUACUUACUUUGCAUUUUGCUAUGUCAAUGCUCGGAGCAAGGGAGAGGAAUGUCAUACUCCUAGAUCAAGACCUUUGACCUUUUUGAGAAGUUUGUCAUCUCUUACUGGCAUAUUGCUUAUUAGAGGGACCAUGGGCUAUCAUUUUUUUUCUUUUUUUUUUCUUUAUUUUUAGUCUCUUUUUUUUUAGUCUCUUUUUUUUUGAGUGGGCAGCAAGUACCCCUAAUUCUACUGUCGGACACAUGUCCAUUUUUUUCCACUCAGGUGGGUAUCUUUGUACCCCUAAUUCUACUUCGGACACUUGUCCAUUUUUACCUCUCGUCUCACUCUUUUUUUUUCGAAUCAAAUUUUUGCAUAGUCCCAUGCCUCUAACGCAAUAAUACUUCGGAAGAGUGAAUCUUUUAUAUUUUAAAACAAAAAGAUCUUGAUCUUGGGAGCAUGAUAAUUCUCUCAACCAAAACUACAAGAAUUAACAAUGGCUUGAACAAAGCAAGUGCCCAAAGUUUUAAUAUUUAUAUCUUAUAAGACUCUAGGUAUUAUGAUCUCAUAUAUAUUUUUUUUAUGAACUUUUAGAUUUUCAACAGAUAAAAUCUCCAGAACUCUAGCAAAACUUGGAACAAGUUAAAUAGUAGCUCAGACCUUCUCAUAUCAUGUUUGUCAAUUACCUAGACUUGAAUCAAACUUUCUUUUUAUUUUAUUUAAAACUUAGGAUUACACAAAACUAUUGUAUAUUACUCAAAAGAAAAACUUUGUUUAGUUUCGUGGUUAUGCAUUUUUUUAUUUAUUUCUGAAUACUAGUAAAUAAAACCAAGAAACAAAAGUAAUACUUAUCUAGAUACACGUGGGGGUGCCUCCCCCAAGCUGGAUGUUGACAUAGUCGUUCACUCUUGUGGCCUACAUGUUCGGUCUCACUCUUCUUAAGCCUCAAAAUCCUGCACAACCCAAAUAGACAACAAAACUUGUGGAACAUGUUAAGGGUUAGGUAAUUGUCUAGAGCUUAUGAGAGCUUAAUAUGAGAAUUCUAUGAACUCAAUCACAUCAAGUUCCUCUACCAGAUUGUUUUGUGGCUCGAGAUAGAUUUUCAAGCGUUGACCAUUUAUCUUAAAAGUGUUACCUGUGUCGUCUUGAAUGGUAAUGGCUCCAUGAGUUGAAGUGUCAAUAACCUUGUAUGGUCCAUCCCACUUACUUCGUAGCUUACCAUGCCCAAAGAGCUUAACUCUUGAAUUGAAUAGUAGAACCUUAUCUCUAGGCUUAAACUCCUUGUGCUUGAUUCUCUUAUCAUGCCAUCGUUUUGUUCUCUCUUUAUAGAUCCUUGAAUUGUGGUAGGCUUUCUCUCUCCAUUCUUCUAGCUUAGAUAAUUGCAUCAGACGAUUCUCGCUAGCAAGGUGGAGAUCCAUGUUCCAUUUCUUGAGUGCCCAAUGAGCCUUAAACUCUACUUCCACAGGCAAGUGACAAGUUUUUCCAUAUACAAGUUGAUAAGGUGACAUGCCUAUGGGUGUUUUGAAUGCAGUUCUAUAUGCCCAAAGUGCAUCAGGAAGUUUGUCCUUCCACCCCUUACCCAUCUCAUCUACGGUCUUUUGUAAAAUAUUUUUGAUUUGUUUGUUAGACGUUUCGGCUUGACCGCUAGUCUGAGGAUGGUAUGGUGUUGCAACGUUGUGUCGAACUCCAUGAUCGGCUAAGUACUUCCGGAAGAUUUUGUCGAUGAAGUGGGAACCUCCAUCGCUUAUAACUAUCCGGGGUAUACCAAAGCGAGGAAAUAUUACUUCAUGGAACAUUCUCUUGGCAUGUUUUGAAUCAACUGAUCGACAAGGUAAGGCUUCUACCCAUUUGGACACGUAAUCCACAGCUACUAAGAUAUACUCGCAAUUCCCGGACAUAGGGAAUGGCCCCAUGAAAUCAAUGCCCCAUACAUCGAAAAGUUCUACUUGAAGAUUAUUUGUGAGAGGCAUUUCAUUUCGUGAGUUAAUAUUCCCAUGUUUUUGACACCGGUGGCAUCUCCUGACAAAGUCCUUUGUAUCUUCAUACAUCGUUGGCCAGAAAAAACCACUUUGCCAAAUUUUAGCAUGUGUCCGAAAUGCUCCAUAGUGUCCUCCAUAUGGCGAGGCAUGGCAUCUUUCCAUAAUUUGAGUAGCCUCAGCCAUAGGAACACACCUUCUCAAGACUCCAUCAGCGCAGACUCGGAAAAGAUAUGGCUCAUCCCACAGGUGGAAACGACUAUCGUGAAGCAACUUCCUUUUGUUUGCACCAGGUGGAACAUAGCCUUUUACUAUAAAGUUUACGAUGUCUGCGUACCAUGGAUCUGCAUGUGUUAUCUUAAGCAGGGUGUCAUCCCUUAGGUAGUCAUUUAUGGGAAGAUCAUCAUGUGUUUCCUUAUAUUGUAGCCUAGACAAGUGGUCGGCUACGGAAUUCUCAACUCCCUUCCUAUCUCGGAUUUCUAUAUCAAAGUCUUGGAGAAGAAGAAUCCAUCGAAUUAGACGAGGCUUAGCAUCUUUCCUAGUGAGGAGGUACUUGAGAGCAGCAUGGUGUGAAUAGAUGAUUAUCUUUGCCCCCACUAAGUAAGAUCUAAACUUGUCUAUAGCAAAGACAACAGCCAAAAGCUCUGUUUCAGUUGUAGUGUAAUUGAGCUGUGGUCCAGACAAGGUUUUGCUAGCGUAGGAUAUGGCACAAUGCAUUUUAUCCUUGGUUUGUCCUAAAACGGCACCAACCGCAAAAUCGCUAGCAUCACACAUGAUCUCAAAAGGAAGAUUCCAAUCAGGUGGUUGGAUAAUCGGGGCUGAGAUGAGUGCUUUCUUAAGAGUUUGAAAAGAUUCAUGACACUCAUCACUAAAGAUGAAAGGUGCAUCCUUAGCUAGGAGAUUAGUUAGGGGUCUAGCAAUUUGAGAGAAAUUUUUGAUAAAGCGUCUAUAGAACCCUGCAUGUCCCAAAAAGCUAUGGAUUCCUUUCACAUUCGUGGGAGGUGGAAGUUUUUCAAUAACUUCAAUCUUUGCUUUGUCCACCUCUAUACCACGUUCGGACACUUUAUGUCCUAGCACUAUUCCUUCCUGAACCAUAAAAUGGCAUUUCUCCCAGUUCAGGAUUAAGUGCUUUUCUUCACAUCGCUGCAAGACUCUAUCUAAAUUCUCCAAACAAUGAUCGAAGGUUUUGCCAUAGACGGUAAAAUCAUCCAUGAAAACCUCCAUGAUCUUCUCAAUCAUGUCCGAGAAAAUAGACAUCAUGCACCGUUGGGAAGAAGCUGGAGCAUUGCACAAUCCGAACGACAUUCGUCGGUAUGCAUAAGUUCCAUACGGGCAUGUAAAGGUAGUCUUUUCUUGGUCAUCUGGGUGGAUUGGGAUUUGGUGAUAUCCAGAAUAACCAUCAAGGAAACAAAAGAAAGAGUGGUUUGCAAGCCGUUCCAACAUUUCAUCAAUGAAGGGUAACGGAAAGUGAUCUUUCUUUGUAGCCUUAUUGAGUUUUCGAUAGUCAAUACACAUACGCCACCCAGUGACAAUUCGUUGAGGGAUGAGUUCAUUCUUCUCAUUCCUAACGACUGUCAUUCCUCCUUUCUAUGGCACUACUUGGACAGGGCUAACCCACUCACUAUGUGGCACAGGACAAAUAAUCCCAGCAUGAUAGAGUUUGAGGACCUCUUUCUUAACAACCUCUCGCAUAGCAUUGUUAAGUCUCCGUUGUGGUUCCCUUGAAGGUGUAGAAUUGGACUAUGCCCGUGAGAUAGGGAUACGAUGAGUGUAGAGAAUGGGACUAUGCCCGUGAGAUCCUCGAGAGAGUAGCCAAAAGCUGAUCUAUGUCUUUCAAGAACAGUGACAAGUUGUUGUGUUUCAUAAUCGGAAAGCUUGUCACUGAUAAUUACUGGAGUUUUUGAGUUGUUGUGCAAGAAGACAUAUCUAAGGCCAGAAGGAAGAGGUUUUAAUUCUAUCGAAGGAGGUGAAGGUAGUUCAUUUUUGUCUAGCUCAACGGGUUCUACCAACUCUUCUUCUUCUUGAACAAAGUGUUCAUGAUCAAAGAAUGGUUGGGUCAUCUCCUCUUGAGUCACCAUUAAGAUCUCCUCAAUAGGAUCUGGGUCAAGUUUGGGUUCCACUAUCGUGUUAAUUGAUCUAGCUAGAGGAACAACAAUAGUGGAAUUCCCAACUUUGAAGUCUAAAUGACCUCGUUGUGGUUGUUCUUGUAGAAGUUUCAUGAUUGGUCUACCAAUCAAGAGAGGAAUCUCCGGUAUGUCAUAAAUGUGAAAAUCUAGACAUAUUCCAGAGUCCUUGAUUCUAACAGAAACUGCCCUUAAUACCCCAUGGCUUUCUAGAAUUAAUCCAGAUGGACUUUGUAAAAGUUUUUGAGAUGGGGUUAUGGACUCGUUGGGAUAAAGAGUGUCAGCUAACUCCUUGGAAAUAACAUUUAUCCCAACAUAUGGAUUGUAGUGGACCUUCCUAAUGGACCGUCUAAUUUGGCACAGAAGAAUGGUUGAAGGAGUGAUGAUCCGAGCUACCUCAGGAGACAGCUCUGCUUCUGUUAGCCAUUCAUAACUCAGAAUAGCCGAAAGGUUUUUGAUGUGUUCUAUGUCAACAGAUUCUACUCUUAGAACAGAUUGAGUGGUCCUUACUAGAGGUCGUGUUUGGAUAGGAAAAUUCGAGGUGUUUCCAUAAUCUUCAAAAAGAUCUUCCUCGAAUUCAAAGGGAUGCUCUAAAGGUGGUGGUUCAUCAUCCCUUAGUUGGUUUUGCAUUCCUUUAUCAGGAGGUUUCUCUACAACCAAAUUAAUGGAUGGGUCAGGUGGAAUUUCUAACUCGGUUGCAAGUUCCUCAUCUUUUGGUUUAGGAUCAGGCUCGACUUCUUUUUCUUCUUCAGGAAACUCAUCAUAAAUGCCUGUGUAAGGGGUAUUUUCAAGGAUUCUUUCUAGGAUAGCUCUCCCCUCAUCUGUGAGUUUGUGUGUGAAUGAGCCUCCUGAAGCAAUGUCGAGGUGAAGAGCAGCCUCCUUGCUUAGACCACGAUAAAAGUGGUAGUACAGUACAUGGUCAGGCAGGGAAAGGUUUGGACCGGAAUUGGUAAGGCUUGUGAACCUAGCCCAAGCUGCUCCUAAAGUUUCCUUCUGUCUUUGUUUGAAUGUAAGAAUUUCGAUUCUAAGGUCAGCGAUUCGAAAGAGUGGGAAGAAAGCGAGACAAAAGUUGUCCCAAAGUUCGUCCCAAUUUCCAUUAACGCCUCCUACAGAAUGAGCAUACCACUUUUUGCUCUUCCCAAAAGGGAGAACGGAAAUAAUUUCCAUUUAAGGGUUUCUUGUGUCAUGCCAGAAAUAGAUCGGCAAGAGCACAACUGCUCGAAUUCUCUAAGGUGGGUGUAUGGAUCUUCAUCUACUUGCCCAGAGAAGGGUUGCUCCUGAAUCAUGGCUAUUAGAUCAGGGCCGAGGUCGUAGCCAUCUGUAAGAAUUGGAUGUGAUGAUGGUGGUGGCUCUAAUAACUCGCCCUUUGGAGCAAAGAAUUUAUAGAUAGGAGUGAAAUCCAUGUGGUGUGGUGAAAAUGGUAAGGUGAGUGUGGUAAAAAAGGAAAAGAAAAAGGAUACACGAACGAGUUGGUUCGAAACAAGCACAGCUACCGUUCCCCGGCAACGGCGCCAGAAAGCUUGUUGGGUGUUUUAAACGCAAACAGAAAAAAUCCGCAAGCGCACGGAUACCAAUGUAGCUUUCACCCGGGAGUAUUCCAGAGUAUCGAUUUUCCACAGGGAACGUGAGUGUACUAAUUAAGAUCCAAGAUCGCCCAAGGAUAACUAUAUAAUUAUUUUUGGUGGGAAGAGAGGAAGUUUCCUCAGAGUUCUCUAGUUGAUCUAAGAAUCAAGAAUUACUUCAAGAUUAUCUAUAUCAGGACAUCAGAGCACUAACCACGGAAAGAGAUGAGAAGGGGGCUAGGAAGGUCUGACUACGGUCCUACAAACACCGAUCCGAACGAGGUGGAAUACGUCGACCGUUAGGGCUGUCACUACCCUAAGGCUACCACAACAAUCCGCAGGAUUGGGUGCAAUCCCAGGUAAUUGCAAGACUAAACACCACGUCUAAUCUAUUAAUUACUACCCUAAUGUUGCAAAGAUUAGAGCACUUGAUGCAAGCGGGAAUCCAAUAAAUAACUUGAAUGUAAAUAAAAGUAAUUAAAGAACUCAGGAUUAUGAAUUGAAGAACCUAGAGAACGAUGAAGAACGAACCAGUUGCUGCAAAAGUACAAUGUUGAGGAAGAUCCGACAGAUCCGGCUCCUCCUCCGCUCUCCUCUUCUCUCUCCCUAUUUUCUAGAUUACAACUAGAACUAACUAGAACUAGAACUAGAGGAACUAGAACUAGAACUAGAUGAACUAGAACCAGAUCUAGAUGAACUAGAGGUAGAACUAGAAGAACUAGAGGGAUCCUCUCUACUUGGAUGAAGAAUUGAAACCCUAGCUUUGAUUCUGUAGAAGAGGUAUGAUCUCCAGGGGCCAGGGGGUCUGGUUUUAUAGUCCCUUCAAGUGAAUCUGGGCCGUCGGAUCAAACCGACAUUGAUCGCACGGUUUUCCUUGAUCCUUUAGGUCGGUGGAGCGUUGUCCGCGAAACGUGAACGAAUUGGUCUCUGGAAGUGGGCGGGCGCCCAAGGGACUAGGGCGGGCGCCCUGUGCCUGAGCCCUCUCGGCCUCCGCUUCGGUCCCGUGGCUUCUGGAGUCUUCUAGAUGAUAGAAAAUUGCGCGGCACAUUAAUAUCUCUAUGUAAACCCAACGUGUGGGCCUUUCUUCCGUAUUUCCUGAUAACCCUCUGCAGAAACAGACAAACACCAAAACUCAUGGAAUUCUGCCAGAUAAAACUCUAUGUCAAGGUGUUGGUUGCAUUUGGAUCCUUUUCCAUGAUUAGUUGAUGGUUAAAUGUGAGCAUUAAGGACCGUCAACAGGGGUCUGGUUUUAUAGUCCCUUCAUGUGAAUAUGGGCCCUUGGAUCAAACCGACAUAGAUUGUAUGGUUUAGAUUCAUCCUUUAGGUCGGUGGAGAUCUCCCGCAAAGCAGAGUCCUGAUUGGACACAGGGGGUGGGCGGGCGCCCUGACCAACUGGGCGGCCGCCUAGGGUCUGGCCCCGUUUCGCCUCCGCUUCGGUCUCGUGGCUUCUGGAGUCUUCUAGAUGUAAGAUAAUUGCGCAGCACGUUAAUAUCUUUACGUAAUCCUGACAUGUGGGCCUUUCUUCCAUAUUUCCUGAUAACCCCCUGCAGAAAUAGACAAACACCAAAACUCAUGGAAUUCGGUCAGAUAAAACCCUAAGUCUGGAUGUUGAUUCCAUUUGGAUCCUUUUCUUUAUUUAUUUGAUAAUUAAAUUUGAUACUUAAGGACCGUCAACAAACUCCCCCAAGCUUACCUCUUGCUCGUCCCUGAGCAAGGAUAGACUUAGCUAUGGAUCAUAAGUUGUUGCAAUAUAUUUAAAAAUUUGACGGUACACAUGCUUUUAAAUAAGAUCUCAUCUGUGGGUUAGAGUAAACUGUCAAGACUUAAAACUUACUUACUUUACCUCCACCAUGGGACUUGUAACCAUCACUUCUGUCUUGAGUGGUUAAAAGAUAGAACAGUCUAGCCAAGUGUCAUGUCUCUUAUUCUUGAUCAGCUAUAGCUCUGGGGUUUUUGCAGAUUUUCAAAUAAAACUCAGAGAUUCCUUGUAUGAUUCUCUCAGGUCUCUCUUUUGUGGUAUUUUUGGAUCCUUACCAAGGCAUUGAUGGUAUAUGCCUUCUCUCAAGAUAUGUGUUAUUUGUGGUAUGAGGCAUAGUGACAUUGCCUUCUCUCUCACCUUACUCUAAUAAGGCUUUAAUAUCUGGAGCUCAUAGGUGGGAGAUAAAAUAUACAUACUUACAAGACAUGUAUUGCAUAGUCAAACCAUGGAUCCAAAGAAACAAGCCAAUAAGUUUAAUCAAGAUGUGCAUGUGUGGCGAAUGAAUGGUAUAUGGUGAUGAUGGUGAUAACAAUGGUGAAAACAAUGGUGGUGGAAGUCUAAUUCUACUUUUGCUCUUCGAGGGGAUACAUACCUUCCUUGCUUUUGAAACUUUAUGAGGAGAAUGAGAUGCUCUUCUUUUUCUUGUCUCUCAGGUGGGUAUCUUGCACCCCUAACUAUACUGUCGGACACUUGUCCAUUUUUACCUCUCGUCUCACUUUUUCUUUUCUUUCGAGGUUCCGAGCACUUUCUCCUUUUUAUUUCCUCGUAUUUUUUUUCUCUCUUUUUUUUCCAGAGCAUUCAUCUCUUGAGAUAAUAUAGCAAGUGGUAGUAACAAGAUAACUUGAGCAUUUAUUUCACAAGGGAAAAACAGAAAUAUUUUUGGUUAUUCUCUCCCGGAUUAGGAGUAGAAUAUUUUUAGGUGGUUCUGGAGAUGGAAUGGAUGGAUAUAUGUGGAUGGUACUUCCAGAGUAGAAGUAGCAUAUAUGAGUGAACGUGCAAGUGAAAUCUUGAUUUAACCACAUGACAAGCCCCUAAGGGUCUACACAGCUUGACCACACUCAAUGCUCAUAAGCAGUAAAUAGUAAAUGUGUGGCUCAAAGUCUAGCAAGCAUGUAUAUAUGGCUGUGGUAGGAAUUUAAACUCUCAUCAUACAGGAACUCAUCUUGCAACAUUUUAAAGAUUUUUAAAGAUAAAAUUCUCUAGAAUUCUAGCAUCUCUAGGAACAGAUAAACAGCAGCUCAACCUUCCCAUAUCGUAUCCGUUAACAACUUAGACUUCAGAUCAAGUUUUCAUCCCACAAGUUUAGGUCUAGAGCAAGCUUUAAAUUAUAACAGUUAUAUCUAAACUUGAGAGAGAACUUAAAAUUUGCAAAUUAGGCAGAGCAACUAUUUAUCAUAUCCAUGCUUAAGUUUUAUUUAGAUACAGAUUAGCAUAGCCACUUUAUUUAUUUAUUAAACACACUA